GCUACCAAAGGAUGCUAGUUUAUCCAUUGGUCUUAGGAGCCAAAAACUCUUGGUGCAAAUCCAAGUGGUAGCA
rnacentral:tRNA from 1 species